rnacentral:rRNA from 1 species
UACAGAGGAGCCAAGCGUUGUCCGGAUUGACUGGGCGUAAAGCGCACGCAGGCGGACGCGCGCGUGGGGUGUGAAAUCUGGCCGCUUAACGGCCAGGCGCCAUCCCAUACGGUGCGUCUGGAGUGAUGCAGAGGUCGAUGGAAUUGCCGGUGUAGUGGUGAAAUGCGUAGAGAUCGGCAGGAACACCCAGGGGGAAACCAGUCGACUGGGCAUCUACUGACGCUGAGGUGCGAGAGCGUGGGGAGCGAACCGG